rnacentral:rRNA from 1 species
AUACGUAGGGGGCGAGCGUUGUCCGGAAUGAUUGGGCGUAAAGGGCGCGUAGGCGGCGCGGUAAGUCUGGAGUGAAAGUCCUGCUUUCAAGGUGGGAAUUGCUUUGGAUACUGCCGCGCUUGAGUGCAGGAGAGGUUAUCGGAAUUCCCGGUGUAGCGGUGAAAUGCGUAGAGAUCGGGAGGAACACCAGUGGCGAAGGCGGGUAACUAGAUUGCGACUGACGCUGAGGCGCGAAAGCGUGGGUAGCAAACAGGAUUAGAUACCCUGGUAGUCCACGCUGUAAACGAUGUUUGCUUGAUGUUGGGCAACUUAGUUGUUCAGUGUCGUAGCUAACGCAAUAAGCACACCGCCUGGGGAGUACGGCCGCAAGGUUGAAACUCAAAUGAAUUGACGGGG